GACGAACGCUGGCGGCGUGCCUAAUACAUGCAAGUAGAACGCUGAAGAGAGGAGCUUGCUCUUCUUGGAUGAGUUGCGAACGGGUGAGUAACGCGUAGGUAACCUGCCUGGUAGCGGGGGAUAACUAUUGGAAACGAUAGCUAAUACCGCAUAAUAGUAGAUGUUGCAUGACAUUUGCUUGAAAGGUGCAAUUGCAUCACUACCAGAUGGACCUGCGUUGUAUUAGCUAGUUGGUGAGGUAACGGCUCACCAAGGCAACGAUACAUAGCCGACCUGAGAGGGUGAUCGGCCACACUGGGACUGAGACACGGCCCAGACUCCUACGGGAGGCAGCAGUAGGGAAUCUUCGGCAAUGGACGGAAGUCUGACCGAACAACGCCGCGUGAGUGAAGAAGGUUUUCGGAUCGUAAAGCUCUGUUGUAAGAGAAGAACGAGUGUGAGAGUGGAAAGUUCACACUGUGACGGUAUCUUACCAGAAAGG
rnacentral:rRNA from 1 species